rnacentral:lncRNA from 1 species
CUCUUGCUGACCACCGGCUAUACGCUGGUACUUUUUGUCAUGGCUAUGGAGGUAGCCACUAGUGUCUAUGUGUUGAAGUCGGACUCUUUGGUCUUGUUUCCAUGUCUUCCCGCUCCCUUCGAUUAUAAGCCUAUGAAACAGAUCGUAAGGUGUGAGUGUGAGCUUCUAUGUGGAUGCAAACACACUAAACAUUUAGAUGAGUAUCAAAUAGCUUUUAAGGGAUUAUAAUUACUUCCAGUGAUCCCCAGUAUCGGAAUUUGAAUCAUCUCCAAAGCAGCUAACCUGCACCAAGAAAAUUGGGUUAGCAAGAAGAAGAAUGCAACUACCAAUUUAAACCGGCACAGUACUUCACAAUUCACAUAGACCCACUAUAAUAAUAUCCUCAUACUACACUGCUUAAAACCAUAAGAUAGAUCUUUAACCCAAGCUUAGCGGAUCAGGGCAUACAAAAACGUUUUAAAUGGAAGAGAAUAAUAACCUCUAAGUUGCCUGAUAUAGGAGAUGCAUGCAAGUGACUGUGGAGCCAUUUCCGGGUCUUCAUGUGCUGCAAUCUAAUGGUAGCUCCACUCAUGACGGCAUCACCUUGCUUUGCUGUUGUCCCAGGCACAGGUUUAACAAUCUAUCAAAAAGAAUAGUCCAUGACAAGAUAAAUGCACCAGCUCCAUUACUCCAUCAUAACUCAUUAAAAACCAUUGCUUCAGAUCAAAUACAAAUUAAUGUUCUGUUCUAACAUACAAAAAACAGGCAGACCUGAGAUUUAGGGGGCAAUUUAUUAACGAUUUUAACUAAAAACUUUUUUUACAAUUUUGAAAGCCUAAAUUUUUUUUUUUGGAAGCCUAUGUUUAUGUAGUGUUCUUCAAAAACAUUUUGGGGGUGGUAAGGCACCCAAUGUUUCAUUCGGCUUUGCCCAGGACCGGCCGUGAUCCAAAGACUCCAAUUUUAAGUUGCUCUAAUACACCAUAUCUUCAAAUUUAAUAAACUAAUAUAUAAGGAUAAGAGAAGCUAGUUGAUGUUUUGUUCCAAGACUUGAAACAAAAUGAUCUUCUUGUGUAAAAGCAAUAAAGUACCCAGUAGCUGUUGGAAUCAACGACGCCAGGAAAGCCAGUGACUGACUGCUGCCCACUGCCGGAUCCAUAGGGCACAUCGUGAGAAUGCAGUCGAACCUUUGUCUUCUCGUGCAUCAGCUUCAUCGCACUUCCAUACGUAAUCUAUACAUCACAACGAGAUACCGAAUUCGAAUCAAAUGCAAGAAGAAACACUAAAUCGAUACAAUGUAUACACACACCUCGACGCCUUCUUUACCCGAAGCGGCGGCGGCGGAGGCAGACGUGUACGCUGGUACUUUUUGUCAUGGCUAUGGAGGUAGCCACUAGUGUCUAUGUGUUGAAGUCGGACUCUUUGGUCUUGUUUCCAUGUCUUCCCGCUCCCUUCGAUUAUAAGCCUAUGAAACAGAUCGUAAGGUGUGAGUGUGAGCUUCUAUGUGGAUGCAAACACACUAAACAUUUAGAUGAGUAUCAAAUAGCUUUUAAGGGAUUAUAAUUACUUCC